rnacentral:rRNA from 1 species
UACGUAGGGUGCGAGCGUUGUCCGGAAUUAUUGGGCGUAAAGGGCUCGUAGGCGGUUUGUCGCGUCGGGAGUGGAAACUCAGGGCUUAACCCUGAGCCUGCUUCCGAUACUGGCAGACUAGAGGUAUGCAGGGGAGAAUGGAAUUCCUGGUGUAGCGGUGAAAUGCGCAGAUAUCAGGAGGAACACCUAUAGCGAAGGCAGCUUGCUGGGACGUUACUGACGCUAAGGCGCGAAAGCGUGGGGAGCGAACAGG